CCUACGGGAGGCAGCAGUGAGGAAUAUUGGUCAAUGGCCGAGAGGCUGAACCAGCCAAGUCGCGUGAGGGAAGACGGCCCUACGGGUUGUAAACCUCUUUUGUCGGGGAGCAAAGCGAACCACGUGUGGUUCAUUGAGAGUACCCGAAGAAAAAGCAUCGGCUAACUCCGUGCCAGCAGCCGCGGUAAUACGGAGGAUGCGAGCGUUAUCCGGAUUUAUUGGGUUUAAAGGGUGCGCAGGCGGAGGUGCAAGUCAGCGGUAAAAUUGCGGGGCUCAACCCCGUACAGCCGUUGAAACUGCAUCGCUGGAGUGGGAGAGGAGUAUGCGGAAUGCGUGGUGUAGCGGGGAAAUGCAUAGAUAUCGCGCAGAACUCCGAUUGCGAAGGCAGCAUACCGGCGCGAAACUGACGCUCAGGCACGAAAGCGUGGGUAUCGAACAGGAUUAGAUACCCCUGUAGUC
rnacentral:rRNA from 1 species